rnacentral:rRNA from 1 species
GGGUUGUGAGGUUAAGCGACUAAGCGUACACGGUGGAUGCCCUGGCAGUCAGAGGCGAUGAAGGACGUGCUAAUCUGCGAUAAGCGUCGGUAAGGUGAUAUGAACCGUUAUAACCGGCGAUUUCCGAAUGGGGAAACCCAGUGUGAUUCGUCACACUAUCAUUAACUGAAUCCAUAGGUUAAUGAGGCGAACCGGGGGAACUGAAACAUCUAAGUACCCCGAGGAAAAGAAAUCAACCGAGAUUCCCCCAGUAGCGGCGAGCGAACGGGGAGCAGCCCAGAGCCUGAAUCAGUGUGUGUGUUAGUGGAAGCGUCUGGAAAGGCGCGCGAUACAGGGUGACAGCCCCGUACACAAAAAUGCACAUGCUGUGAGCUCGAUGAGUAGGGCGGGACACGUGGUAUCCUGUCUGAAUAUGGGGGGACCAUCCUCCAAGGCUAAAUACUCCUGACUGACCGAUAGUGAACCAGUACCGUGAGGGAAAGGCGAAAAGAACCCCGGCGAGGGGAGUGAAAAAGAACCUGAAACCGUGUACGUACAAGCAGUGGGAGCACGCUUAGGCGUGUGACUGCGUACCUUUUGUAUAAUGGGUCAGCGACUUAUAUUCUGUAGCAAGGUUAACCGAAUAGGGGAGCCGAAGGGAAACCGAGUCUUAACUGGGCGUUAAGUUGCAGGGUAUAGACCCGAAACCCGGUGAUCUAGCCAUGGGCAGGUUGAAGGUUGGGUAACACUAACUGGAGGACCGAACCGACUAAUGUUGAAAAAUUAGCGGAUGACUUGUGGCUGGGGGUGAAAGGCCAAUCAAACCGGGAGAUAGCUGGUUCUCCCCGAAAGCUAUUUAGGUAGCGCCUCGUGAAUUCAUCUCCGGGGGUAGAGCACUGUUUCGGCAAGGGGGUCAUCCCGACUUACCAACCCGAUGCAAACUACGAAUACCGGAGAAUGUUAUCACGGGAGACACACGGCGGGUGCUAACGUCCGUCGUGAAGAGGGAAACAACCCAGACCGCCAGCUAAGGUCCCAAAGUCAUGGUUAAGUGGGAAACGAUGUGGGAAGGCCCAGACAGCCAGGAUGUUGGCUUAGAAGCAGCCAUCAUUUAAAGAAAGCGUAAUAGCUCACUGGUCGAGUCGGCCUGCGCGGAAGAUGUAACGGGGCUAAACCAUGCACCGAAGCUGCGGCAGCGACGCUGAUGCGUUGUUGGGUAGGGGAGCGUUCUGUAAGCCUGCGAAGGUGUGCUGUGAGGCAUGCUGGAGGUAUCAGAAGUGCGAAUGCUGACAUAAGUAACGAUAAAGCGGGUGAAAAGCCCGCUCGCCGGAAGACCAAGGGUUCCUGUCCAACGUUAAUCGGGGCAGGGUGAGUCGACCCCUAAGGCGAGGCCGAAAGGCGUAGUCGAUGGGAAACAGGUUAAUAUUCCUGUACUUGGUGUUACUGCGAAGGGGGGACGGAGAAGGCUAUGUUGGCCGGGCGACGGUUGUCCCGGUUUAAGCGUGUAGGCUGGUUUUCCAGGCAAAUCCGGAAAAUCAAGGCUGAGGCGUGAUGACGAGGCACUACGGUGCUGAAGCAACAAAUGCCCUGCUUCCAGGAAAAGCCUCUAAGCAUCAGGUAACAUCAAAUCGUACCCCAAACCGACACAGGUGGUCAGGUAGAGAAUACCAAGGCGCUUGAGAGAACUCGGGUGAAGGAACUAGGCAAAAUGGUGCCGUAACUUCGGGAGAAGGCACGCUGAUAUGUAGGUGAAGUCCCUCGCGGAUGGAGCUGAAAUCAGUCGAAGAUACCAGCUGGCUGCAACUGUUUAUUAAAAACACAGCACUGUGCAAACACGAAAGUGGACGUAUACGGUGUGACGCCUGCCCGGUGCCGGAAGGUUAAUUGAUGGGGUCAGCGCAAGCGAAGCUCUUGAUCGAAGCCCCGGUAAACGGCGGCCGUAACUAUAACGGUCCUAAGGUAGCGAAAUUCCUUGUCGGGUAAGUUCCGACCUGCACGAAUGGCGUAAUGAUGGCCAGGCUGUCUCCACCCGAGACUCAGUGAAAUUGAACUCGCUGUGAAGAUGCAGUGUACCCGCGGCAAGACGGAAAGACCCCGUGAACCUUUACUAUAGCUUGACACUGAACAUUGAGCCUUGAUGUGUAGGAUAGGUGGGAGGCUUUGAAGUGUGGACGCCAGUCUGCAUGGAGCCGACCUUGAAAUACCACCCUUUAAUGUUUGAUGUUCUAACGUUGACCCGUAAUCCGGGUUGCGGACAGUGUCUGGUGGGUAGUUUGACUGGGGCGGUCUCCUCCUAAAGAGUAACGGAGGAGCACGAAGGUUGGCUAAUCCUGGUCGGACAUCAGGAGGUUAGUGCAAUGGCAUAAGCCAGCUUGACUGCGAGCGUGACGGCGCGAGCAGGUGCGAAAGCAGGUCAUAGUGAUCCGGUGGUUCUGAAUGGAAGGGCCAUCGCUCAACGGAUAAAAGGUACUCCGGGGAUAACAGGCUGAUACCGCCCAAGAGUUCAUAUCGACGGCGGUGUUUGGCACCUCGAUGUCGGCUCAUCACAUCCUGGGGCUGAAGUAGGUCCCAAGGGUAUGGCUGUUCGCCAUUUAAAGUGGUACGCGAGCUGGGUUUAGAACGUCGUGAGACAGUUCGGUCCCUAUCUGCCGUGGGCGCUGGAGAACUGAGGGGGGCUGCUCCUAGUACGAGAGGACCGGAGUGGACGCAUCACUGGUGUUCGGGUUGUCAUGCCAAUGGCACUGCCCGGUAGCUAAAUGCGGAAGAGAUAAGUGCUGAAAGCAUCUAAGCACGAAACUUGCCCCGAGAUGAGUUCUCCCUGACUCCUUGAGAGUCCUGAAGGAACGUUGAAGACGACGACGUUGAUAGGCCGGGUGUGUAAGCGCAGCGAUGCGUUGAGCUAACCGGUACUAAUGAACCGUGAGGCUUAACCUUACAACGCCGAAGCUGUU